rnacentral:rRNA from 1 species
CCCAGUGAACGGCGGCCGUAACUAUAACGGUCCUAAGGUAGCGAAAUUCCUUGUCAGGUAAGUUCUGACCCGCAUGAAAGGCGUAAUGAUCUGGGCACUGUCUCAACAGCCCGCCCGGCGAAAUUGUAGUACCGGUGAAGAUGCCGGUUACCCGCGACAAGACGGAAAGACCCCAUGGAGCUUUACUGUAGCCUAAUAUUGGGUUUCGGUGUUGCAUGCACAGGAUAGAUGGGACGCUGGGAAGUGAGUGCUUUGGCAUUCAUGGAGCGGCCGUUGGGAUACCAUCCUUGCGACAUUGGAAUUCUAACCUGCGCCUUUGAAUCAAGGCGGGGGACAUUGUUAGGUGGGCAGUUUGACUGGGGCGGUCGCCUCCUAAAGAGUAGCGGAGGCGUUCAAAGGUUGGCUCGUCCUGGACGGAAACCAGGAGAGAGAGUGCAAACGCAAAAGCCAGCCUGACUGCGAGACUGACGGGUCGAGCAGAGACGAAAGUCGGAGUUAGUGAUCCGGUGGUAUGUGAGUGGAAAUGCCAUCGCUCAACGGAUAAAAGUUACCCUGGGGAUAACAGGCUGAUCUCCCCCAAGAGUCCACAUCGACGGGGAGGUUUGGCACCUCGAUGUCGGCUCAUCGCAUCCUGGGGCUGUAGUAGGUCCCAAGGGUUGGGCUGUUCGCCCAUUAAAGCGGUACGCGAGCUGGGUUCAGAACGUCGUGAGACAGUUCGGUCCCUAUCUGUCGUGGGCGCAGGAUAUUUGAAAGGCGCUGUCCCUAGUACGAGAGGACCGGGAUGGACGAACCUCUGGUGCACCAGUUGUCACGCCAGUGGCACAGCUGGGCAGCUAUGUUCGGAUCGGAUAAACGCUGAAAGCAUCUAAGCGUGAAGCCGGCCUUAAGAUAAGAUAUCCCACUGAGAUAAUCAGGUAAGACCCCUUGAAGACUACAAGGUUGAUAGGCACAAUGUGUAAGUGGCGUGAGUCAUUGAGCAAGCGUGUACUAAUAGGUCGAGGGCUUGACCCC